rfam:Candidatus Scalindua sp. BSI-1 SCARTB_contig000050, whole genome shotgun sequence.
UAGCCAGUGAGAGUCUGGUCAUGGGAAUUGGCUGUUUGCCCAUGUAGCUAUAUUCGACAUAUUACUAAGGUGACUUAUAAUAUGAAAGCUCGAAAGUAAACGUCCUGUCAGUGUUAGGCUAGCAAAUCUUCAGGCCGUAGCAUAA